GCAUGUCAGUGAGAGGAGGAUAUGAGACCAACAGCGAUUUCCCAAGUAAUGGGGAGUGAAGCAGCAGCAGCUCUAAUGAAAAAUGUUCAAAACAGGGGGCGAAUUUUAAUUUACAGAGGAUAUUGUUGACGGGGCGCUUUCGGACUUGCCCCGAGCGGGAAAGCAUAAAGGGUGAGAGAAAAGUGAGUUAAACAGCCAAGACAGUGUAAAAAUCGUUACGUGAGUCGCCUAUCAUGGGAAUGGAAAUUCAGUUGGGAGGUAGGGGAGUUGUAAAGGUUAAUAUAGCAAGGCCGGCGAUAGCUUCCUAUUAGAGGUAUGGGAAGCUGAAAAUCAUUUUCAAAUGAGGGUCAGUCUGUACGGGAAAUCAUUGAAAGGGAAGCAG
rnacentral:rRNA from 1 species